GAGAUAUAGAUUUUGAGGGGUAGAGCACUAAAUAGGCUAGGGGUAAGAAAUUCUUACUAAACCUAAUAAAACUCCGAAUACUCAAAAUUGUUCCUCAGCAGACAGACGGUGAAUGCUAACGUCCAUCGUCGAGAGGGAAACAACCCAGACCACCAAUUAAGGUCCCCAAGUUAUGGUUAAGUGUGAAAGGAUGUGAAGACUCCAAAACAGCCGGGAGGUUGGCUUAGAAGCAGCCAUCCUUUAAAGAUAGCGUAACAGCUCACCGGUCUAAUUAAGAGACUUUGCGCCUAAGAUGUAACGGGGCUCAAACCAUACACCGAAAUUGUGGAUUGAUAGAAGUCUUCGGACUUUUAUUUCUGGUAGCGGAACGUUCUGUAAGCCUGUGAAGAGAGACCCGUGAGGGCUCUUGGAGGUAUCAGAAGUGCGAAUGCUGACAUAAGUAACGACAAACAGAGUGAAAGACUCUGUCGCCGAGAGUACAAGGGUUCCUGCGUAAAGUUAAUCUUCGCAGGGUUAGCCGGCCCCUAAGACGAGGACGAAAGUCGUAGUCGAUGGGAAUCAGGUAAAUAUUCCUGAGCCAGGUGGUAGUGACGGAUCAUGUAAAUUGUUAACUCUUAUUGGAUUGAGUUGGCUGUGAAGUGGUCCCAGGAAAUAGCUCCAUCAUAAGACCGUACCCCAAACGGACACACGUGUACCGGUAGAGUAUACCUAGGCGCUUGAGAGAAUGAUGUUGAAGGAACUCGGCAAAAUGCUUCCGUAACUUCGGGAUAAGGAAGACCCAAUAAUGGGCAACCAUAUUUGGGUGGCACAAGCCAGGGAGAAGCGACUGUUUAUCAAAAACACAGCACUCUGCUAACACGUAAGUGGAUGUAUAGGGUCUGACGCCUGCCCGGUGCUGGAAGGUUAAAGGGAGAUGUGCAAGCAUCAAACUGAAGCCCCAGUGAACGGCGGCCGUAACUAUAACGGUCCUAAGGUAGCGAAAUUCCUUGACGGGUAAGUUCCGUCCUGCAUGAAUGGCGUAACGAUUUCUCCGCUGUCUCCAACAUCAACUCAGUGAAAUUGAAUUCUCCGUGAAGAUGCGGAGUUCCCGUGGUUAGACGGAAAGACCCCGUGCACCUUUACUACAACUUUAUAUUGGUGUUAGGAAUGACAUAUUUAGCUUAGGAGGGAGACUUUGAAGUUUUGGCGUCAGCCAAGAUGGAGUCACCAGUGAAAUACCUCUUUUGUUAUUCUUGACAUCUAACUGCUAGCCGUAAUCCGGCAGCAAGACACUGUAUGGUGGGUAGUUUGACUGGGGCGGUCGCCUCCCAAA
rnacentral:rRNA from 1 species